UACAGAGGUGGCAAGCGUUGUUCGGAAUUACUGGGCGUAAAGGGCGCGUAGGCGGCCGCCUAAGUCAGACGUGAAAUCCCUCGGCUCAACCGGGGAACUGCGUCUGAUACUGGGUGGCUUGAAUCCGGGAGAGGGAUGCGGAAUUCCAGGUGUAGCGGUGAAAUGCGUAGAUAUCUGGAGGAACACCGGUGGCGAAGGCGGCAUCCUGGACCGGUAUUGACGCUGAGGCGCGAAAGCCAGGGGAGCAAACGGG
rnacentral:rRNA from 1 species